UGAAAAUUCAAGGAAAUCAGUUUUAUAUAGUCUUGAUAUUUUCUCUCAUUAAUUUUUCGGUAUUUUUUUCCCAUUUUCCAAUCACUUGGGAUCUUGAUUUUGUGAGAAUUUGAUACACCCCUGUCAGUUAACCAACUUGACCAAUCUGAUUUUGUUCAUCUUUUAUAUGGACUUAUUUCCCGGCACUAGGCUAUUUGCUGUCCACUGUUAGUGUCUUUUCAAUGCUUUAUCAGGUACCAUGAUUGUGUCUUUUCAAUGCUUUAUCAGGUACCAUGAUUUAUUGCUGCCUUUGUGUACCUGGAUUGUCCAUUUAAAUGCUCAGAUGCCAUAAAGGCAGCACAUUUAAGAAUCAUAUCCAUGUAUUGAUCAGUAGCCAUAUUGUUUUAGCCUACAGAAAAUGUAUUUUAUAUCCUUACUAUAAAAUGGCGGCUAUAUGGCAAUUUUUUUGCCAUCUGUUUUUAUCACCCCUUCAAGUCCCAUUUUUCUUAGAAACUAGAUAACAGAAUAUUCAUAUUUGUACAGCAGCUAUACAAUGAUGAGUUGUAAGGUGUGAGCACU
rnacentral:lncRNA from 1 species